AUGGCUCAGAAUCAACGCUGGCGGCGUGCCUAACACAUGCAAGUCGAACGAGAAAGUGGUAGCAAUACCAUGAGUAAAGUGGCGGCACGGGUGAGUAACACGUGACUAACCUACCCUGGAGUGGGGGAUAACUAAGAGAAAUCUUGGCUAAUACCGCAUAACACCUACGGGUCAAAGGAGCAAUUCGCUUCAGGAGGGGGUCGCGGCCGAUUAGUUAGUUGGCGGGGUAAUGGCCCACCAAGACAGUGAUCGGUAUCCGGCCUGAGAGGGCGCACGGACACACUGGAACUGAAACACGGUCCAGACUCCUACGGGAGGCAGCAGUGGGGAAUUUUGCGCAAAUGGGGGAAACCCUGACGCAGCAACGCCGCGUGGAGGAUGAAGUACUUCGGUACGUAAACUCCUUUCGAUCGGGACGAUAAUGACGGUACCGGAAGAAGAAGCCCCGGCUAACUUCGUGCCAGCCGCCGC
rnacentral:rRNA from 1 species